CUGCUGCCUCCCGUAGGAGUCUGGGCCGUGUCUCAGUCCCAGUGUGGGGGGCCUUCCUCUCAGAACCCCUACGCAUCGUCGCCACGGUGGGCCGUCACCCCGCCGUCUAGCUAAUGCGCCGCAUGCCCAUCCGCCACCGGAUCGCUCCUUUGGCCACCGGAGGAUGCCCUCCGGUGGCGUCACGGGGUAUUAGGCCGCGUUUCCGCGGGUUAUCCCCCUGUGGCGGCCAGGUUGCAUACGUGUUGCUCACCCGUGCGCCGGUCG
rnacentral:rRNA from 1 species